AGCUGGUUUUUCGGUGUAAUAGGGCGUAGAGUAAGGCCGUAAGCGAAAUGGUUGAAUUCUAUUUCCUACGGUCUGCUUCUUUACUCUCAGCCAAUGAGAGCUCGACAGUAAGAGCGGGAGCACAGCUGUGUAGUUUGUAUGUCGGUUAACACACAAUGUCGGACAUGGAAUCUCUUUGUGCGAAAGAUGAGCUCAGCAGUGACCGAGAGCUAAUUGCCGUGGUCCGAGUAAAUAGAUUUUUGUACGACAAGACUGAAAAGUUAUAUGCCAAUGGGGAGGUGAAGGCCGCAGCAUGGGCGCAGAUCGGCGCGAGCCUCACUCAUCCAGUAGAAGGUCUUGUUGCUGAAAAAAGAUUUUACGCCCUGAGGCAACGCUUUGGAAAACACCAGCUUGGGAGUUGUACAAAAACCUGACAUUCCUGGAGGACAUCAUCAAACCUAGAAGAACCUCAUCCAACUACAAGUCCCAAAUCCAAAAGGACAUUUCUGCAAAUAAUCAAGUGCCACAAGUUUGCACAAGUUCCUCAUUCACGUCUACGUCUGCUUCUUCUAAUGGUCAAGUAACAACAGUGUUUUGCAUUCCCCCUCUGUUACGUCUGUUGCAGCAAGCCCAGACACAUCUAGUUCUUGGAAUUGGGACUUAUGUACAAGACUCGCAAGUACUGAAAAGUCAGAUACUGAGAAUUCUAUAAAAGUAUCUGAGGAUUCCUGUUCGCCACUUCCUCUUGCAACAACACUUCUUGCUACACUAUCUCCUACAACACCAUCAUCUGCAGUUACUUCGGGAUCUGAAAGCAAUAAUGCAGUACCACAGGUGCAGAGAGCUAUGCCCAAGAUUGGCACCAAGCACAAGGUGCCCCCUUCUGAUUCUUUUGCAACUAAAAAACGACAGGAGAUAGACGCUGUCAGUAAGUCUUUCAUUGAGCAGAGUAAGGGAUUGACAGAUUUUGCAGCGAAGAUC